GUAGAGUCUGGUAGAACCAGGCAGAGUCUGGCAGAGUCUGGUAGAGUUUGGUUAAACCAGGUAGAGUCAGGUAGAGUCUGGUAGAACCGGGUAGAGUCUGAUAGAACCGGGUAGAGUCUGGUAGAACCGGGUAGAGUCUGGUAGAACCGGGUAGAGUCUGGUAGAGUCUGGUAGAACCGGGUAGAGUCUGGUAGAACCGGGUAGAGUCUGGUAGAACCGGGUAGAGUCUGGUAGAGUCUGGUAGAACCGGGUAGAGUCUGGUAGAGUCAGGUAGAACCGGGUAGAGUCUGGUAGAACCGGGUAGAGUCUGGUAGAGUCUGGUAGAACCGGGUAGAGUCUGGUAGAACCGG